rnacentral:lncRNA from 1 species
CCUGCUUCCCACAGACCAGCUAGGAAACUACUGAGCGCCUGUGUUUGAAUGAUGCCCACCUGUGAAUACUGACUCCGGUGUCUUUUUCAGAGUCUAGUUCCCCGGGUUUCUACGGGGCAGCCCUGAGCCCAGCCUGCUCUCAAGGCUAAGUGCUUGACUGUCCCUCGCAGCUUCCCUUAGGACCCCUCCUCUUCCUCCUUAGGUGUGUUACUGAGGCAGGCUGUCAGAGGCACCAGACACAGGCUUCGUUAUACCUGGCUUUUGAUUUUGAAGGUUGUGAAGAACAAAAGCUGGUAAUGUUCCUGUGACACUCAAGAAAACCUUAUUCUCACUCCUGGCUGUAUGAUCACAAGAAAUGAGUAAGUGUAUACACGAGGACCUUAUUAGGUGACAUCACAAGUAUCAAAAGUGCACUUCUAGUGGGCAGCGGCUGGGCUCAGUGGCAGAGCGCUUGCCUAGCACGCAUGAGGCACUGGGUUGGAUCCUCAUCACCGCAAAAAGGAAACAAAUAAAGGCAUCCUGUUCAUCCACAGCUACAAAAACAAUUUUUAAAAGUGCGCUACAAAUCCAAGAAAAAUUAAAAUGGAUCCAAAUAUCUUAAGAAUCAUGUGGUUACAUAAAAU